GCGGGAUUAGUAUAGUGGCAGCACACUUGCUUCCCAAGCAAGAAACACGGGUUCGAUUCCCGUAUCCCGCA
rnacentral:tRNA from 2 species